GAAAUGCGAUAAGUAGUGUGAAUUGCAGAAUUUAGCGAAUCAUCGAAUCUUUGAACGCACAUUGCGCCCCUUGGUAUUCCAUGGGGCAUGCCUGUUUGAGUAUCAUGAAAUCUUCAAAGUAAAUCUUUUGUUAACUCAAUUGGUUUCUACUUUGGUAUUGGAGGUCUUUGCAGCUUCACACCUGCUCCUCUUUGUUCAUUAGCUGGAUCUCAGUGUUAUGCUUGGUUCCACUCGGCGUGAUAAGUUAUCUAUCGCUGAGGACACUGUAAAAGGUGGCCAAGGUAAAUGCAGAUGAACCGCUUCUAAUAGUCCAUUGACUUGGACAAUACUUUUAUGAUCUGAUCUCAAAUCAGGUAGGACUACCCGCUGAACUUAAGC
rnacentral:misc_RNA from 1 species